AGCCUGCCUCGAAAGGGCAAGGUCCUGAGUUUGAUCCCUGGUAGCCCCCCCCACCCCCAAAAAAGAUUCUUUGGCUUCCCUCCAGGCCUGCAGAAUUAAUUCUCCAGGGCUGGGGCUUUGGAACCAGUGGUGGGUUAUAUUUCCCAAAGAUGGCCACAUCAAUGGGUCCCUUCCCAAAAGCUCUUCUUAACAAUGCUAUGUCCAUGCUCCUCCUAUCCACCCACUGGUCGGGUCCCCUUCCCUUGAGCCUGGGGCAGACCCAAGACUGCCUCAGCCAAUAGAGAAAGUGACAUUAUGCGAUUUCUGAAGCCUUGUCAAGCAAAUUCCAUGUACUUCUCUGCCUUGUUUUUUGGGGGUCUCUCACUCUAGAAAUAGUCACCAAGCUGUGAGGGAGCUCACAUGGCCACAUGGUAAGACCAAGCCCCUCACCAGCUCCCAGGUUCAGCCACCAGACACCGAAGGGUAUAAGACAACAAGUAUCCCUGAGCCACCCGGCCUGACGCUGUGUGGAGCGGAAACAAGUUACCAAUGUGUGGCCCUCCCCACAUUGCAGGUUUAUGAGCACAGCAAAUCAUCGCUCUCUUAAAUCACUAAGCUUUGGGAUGAUGUGUUGUACAGUAAAUAACUGGACCAUAAUCAGUAGUUUGAGAGACCACCAGCAAGAUUCUAUUGCAUGCCAAAAUACGGUGCCACUGCCUGAGAGAGAUGGUGUCCAGGUCAAGACCCAGGCAUCGUGGGAUGAGGUCAGAGCAAAGGUGACUGCAGAUGUAUCGUCAUGGGACCCAGCUCUCCAAUGAAGAUGUAAAGUAUUUCCCAUUGCCCCAGAAAACUUCUUUCUCAUCCCAGUGCCUGGAAAAUUCUGGAAAUAAAUAUACCCCAAAUAUACUAUGAUCCCUUCUUGGUGGCAGGAUGGUGGAUGAGUUUUGAUUUUUUAAAUAUUUUUCCGGACUGUGUUGGAAGUGGCUCCAACAAUACCAAAGUGACUUAAGAUCAUAAUUUCUUUGCUGGGGCCUCGACUCCUCCCCCACGCAGACACCCCAUCCCCCAGCUCAUACAAAGGAGCCCAAGGAGACCGCUGAGUUUGCUCACUUUGAACCUCAAACAAAACCCUUGUGGAUUCAAGGGGAAUUAUUUCAGAGGCUCCCGGUAACAGGCAG
rnacentral:lncRNA from 1 species